CCAGGCUUUCGCUCCGAUUUCAACCUGUGGCUCUCCUUGGAAUCUCUUUUGCUUCUCACUUAAACAGAGCUCCUGGAGGAGGUUGGCCGGUGACUUGCCCUCUGACCCCGCCGUGGGGGACGAGACCCGAUGGAGGUACUAGGGGCCCCUGCGGCUGAGCCCGUGUCCAGGCACCUUCCACGUGGCGCAGGGCGGAUCAAGGCUUGCCCGGGGCCAGCGCGGGGCUGCCGCCAGCACGAGAGCCUCGGGGACCGCCCUCCUCCGGCAGCCGGUGUCAGCGGAGAGUGACAGACGGUCUGGUGGGCCCUGCCAAGGCAGCCCCUAAAUAGAGAUCUCCAGAGGGGGCAACACCAUAAAAAAGGUUCUUUGUGUUUCACUCUAGCGUGGUAUUGCUCUAAUAUAGAGCUCGGCACUUUCCCCAACCUCUAGGAAUUCGAACACCUGGAAAAAUUCUCCUGGCUUUACAUUGGAGGAAAUUUAAUGGUGUAAACCAACUCUGCAGGGGGGCCCCCUUUGAUUUGAGAAAGCAGUGAUCUGCGGUGCAGUGCUGAGCCGAAGGGGCUUGGAAACGACUUUGCCUGAGAAUGUCCAUUCCUCAAACACUUUAAGGAUGGCUUCGAGUUGUUUAGAAAAAUUUAGGCAGACAGCACCGUCUUGGAAGCAUCUAGAAACUUCGAGAGAAAUAAACUUCAGUUACUCGUUUAAUUACAGGCAUCAGCUUGCCAGUUCCCUGCUAACUGUCCAUUUCCGAAUAGGGCAGAAUUUUUCAGGGGUCUUUGCUGUGCUACUACAGCUUUAUGAAUUGUAGACCGGUUUGUCAGCCUUAUUUUAGCUCGGCAAAUAAGGAAAUCAUACCUGGGAAAGUGAAGUGACUUCCCCAAGGUCACCUGACCCAGAAGCCAAGACUCCAGGCUUGUAAGUUCCAUGAUGUUGAUGCCCUUAUUGUUUCCCUGUGGAGUCCUGCUACCCAGAAAGUAAGCUGUGAGCUAAGGAGAGGAAAAGGCCCAACACCUGCCUGUCAGGGCUCCUGGAUCACGCCCUGCUGCCUGCUGACCUAUAUUGGACUCGAGCCCUUCUUCUGGCAUGCUCACCUGUUAACCCACCUAUCAGCCCACACCUCUGACUGCUGGCUGCUCCCCAUUGAGCCUGAAAUACUGUGCUAUCUGCCUGUACCCUUUUGCAUAAGCUGGGGUUGGGUUAUCUCAGAUUUCUAUUUGGGUCAAGAUUGCCACAUACCUCACCUCUUCUGUUCUGGUCCUCAUCCUGUGUUCCUGGACAAAAAUAACAUUUGAGUAGAAAGCUUUUCUACUUGUUGACAUAGUUGAACAGAUUUUGCUUUAUUGAGAUGAAAUGGAGCCUAAAUUUAUCUGGAAAUGUGUGGAAUCAGUAGAGAGAAGUAAACACAACUCGAAGAAAGCGGGAAACCCCUGUGUACAAUUCAGCUUUUUCACUCCCAGGGAGUUGGGCAUGAUUGUAAAGAAUGAUGUUUUCAAGCCUGCCAAUAACAGAACACGUCUGUAUCCAUUGUGGAUGGGCUUCUUUGAGAAAGCUUCCUUUUCGCCCAAGUAGAGGAGCUCUUCACUGCCCUAAGAUUCUGCUUUCCUACUCCCAUGUCAGAGCAGGAAAAGGUGAAUAUUUUUCACACAGAAUAGCCUCAUCCAUUCCCACGGGGAGUGAGAUAGUUCCUGUAGGGUGCUAGUGAUGGCAUAAAAUUACAGCUCACUAGAGAAACAGUUGCGAGUAAAGAAAUAUAUACAUUUCCUCUAUUUGUGUUCCCUGUCUGUGUUGUCUAAGUUGCAAACAACAGACUCCACUUCAGCUAGGUUAAAGGGAAAAGAGGUUUAAUAAAGAAAAUUAAAUAGCUUAUAGCAUCACUGGGGAACUAGAGAAACAGAUUUAAGGCUAAGCUUCCAGAAACAUAUCCCAAAACAUGCCCCCAAACCGUGACACUGACAUGAAGAGACAGUUGUCAUUGCUGCUUUAUUGAACAGAGGACUGAGAAUUUUUCUACAGUCACUGCUGUUCUCUGCACUGAUGGAAGCCAAGCCUGCCUGGAGAACUCAACUUUGCAACCCAAAGCUGGUGGCUAAUGUGGCUACCCCUACCAACAAAAUGGAAACUCCACCAGGUGUCUGAAUCCAGCUCUCACGACCAUUUAGUGGAGCAGGAAGAAACUGCAGGCCUUUUGGAGGUAUUUCCUUGUGAUUCUGGUCCAAUCCACCACCACCGUCUCACGCUUAGAACCCUGCAAUCCUUCGUUUCUCUCUCAACAAGAUUAUUAUUUCCAUGUAGAAAAAAGAGCAGGGAUUUGUUAAAAACUGUAUGUAAUACUCUAAACAACCUCGGGGUAACCAAGUAUUAGUUGCGGAUAAACUUACUGAUCAUGGCACAAGUGUUGACCUAAAUCACCUCUGACUAUGUUAAAGCUGAAGGAGGGCAUUUUGGAAGUGCAACUGGGUCUGCAGUCCUUGACACAGAAACACACUGACUCAACACCUUCUGACGCUGGAGAC
rnacentral:lncRNA from 1 species